CGGAGGAUCCAAGCGUUAUCCGGAAUCAUUGGGUUAAAGGGUCUGUAGGCGGUCUUGUAAGUCAGUGGUGAAAGCCCAUCGCUCAACGGUGGAACGGCCAUUGAUACUGCUGGACUUGAAUUAUUGGGAAGCAACUAGAAUAUGUAGUGUAGCGGUGAAAUGCUUAGAGAUUACAUGGAAUACCAAUUGCGAAGGCAGGUUGCUACCAAUGGAUUGACGCUGAUGGACGAAAGCGUGGGUAGCGAACAGGAUUAGAUACCCUGGUAGUCCACGCCGUAAACGAUGGAUACUAGCUGUUGGGCGCAAGUUCAGUGGCUAAGCGAAAGUGAUAAGUAUCCCACCUGGGGAGUACGAACGCAAGUUUG
rnacentral:rRNA from 1 species